UAAGUGCUUCCUUGUUUUAGUAA
rnacentral:miRNA from 1 species